CUACGUGCCAGCAGCCGCGGUAAUACGGAAGGUUCGGGCGUUAUCCGGAUUUAUUGGGUUUAAAGGGAGCGUAGGCCGGAGAUUAAGUGUGUUGUGAAAUGUAGACGCUCAACGUCUGACUUGCAGCGCAUACUGGUUUCCUUGAGUACGCACAACGUUGGCGGAAUUCGUCGUGUAGCGGUGAAAUGCUUAGAUAUGACGAAGAACUCCGAUUGCGAAGGCAGCUUACGGGAGCACAACUGACGCUGAAGCUCGAAGGUGCGGGUAUCAAACAGGAUUAGAUACCCUGGUAGUCCGCACAGUAAACGAUGGAUGCCCGUUGUUAGUUCACUUAUGAAUUAGCGACCAAGCGAAAGCAUUAAGCAUCCCACCUGGGGAGUACGCCGGCAACGGUGAAACUCAAAGGAAUUGACGGGGGCCCGCACAAGCGGAGGAACAUGUGGUUUAAUUCGAUGAUACGCGAGGAACCUUACCCGGGCUUGAAUUGCAGACGAACGUUUCAGAGAKAUGAGG
rnacentral:rRNA from 1 species